AGUCAACAUGCCCAGAGGACGUGGAUAACCUCGGGAAACUGAGGAUAAACCGCGAUAGGUCAUAAUAUCUGGAAUGAUUUAUGGUUUAAAUCUAUAUGGCCUCUGGAUUGGACUGCGGCCGAUCAGGCUGUUGGUGAGGUAAUGGCCCACCAAACCUAAAACCGGUACGGGCUCUGAGAGGAGAAGCCCGGAGAUGGGCACUGAGACAAGGGCCCAGGCCCUAUGGGGCGCAGCAGGCGCGAAAACUCUGCAAUAAGCGAAAGCUUGACAGGGUUAUUCUGAGUGAUUUCCGCUAAGGAAAUCUUUUGGCACCUCUAAAAAUGGUGCAGAAUAAGGGGUGGGCAAGCCUGGUGUCAGCCGCCGCGGUAAUACCAGCACCCCGAGUGGUCGGGACGAUUAUUGGGCCUAAAGCAUCCGUAGCCGGUUCUACAAGUCUUCCGUUAAAUCCACCUGCUUAACAGAUGGGCUGCGGAGGAUACUAUAGAGCUAGGAGGCGGGAGAGGCAAGCGGUACUUAGUGGGUAGGGGUAAAAUCCGUUGAUCCAUUGAAGACCACCAGUGGCGAAGGCGGCUUGCCAGAACGCACUCGACGGUGAGGGAUGAAAGCUGGGGGAGCAAACCGGAUUAGAUACCCGGGUAGUCCCAGCCGUAAACGAUGCAGACUCGGUGAUGAAUAGGCUUCGUGCCUAUUCAGUGCCGCAGGGAAGCCGUUAAGUCUGCCGCCUGGGGAGUACGGUCGCAAGACUGAAACUUAA
rnacentral:rRNA from 1 species